UACGGAGGGUGCAAGCAUUGAUCGGAAUUACUGGGCGUAAAGGGCGCGUAGGCGGCAAAAUAAGUCAGAUGUGAAAUUCCACAGCUCAACUGUGGAGCUGCAUUUGAAACUGUUUAGCUAGAGCAUAAUUAGGGAAAACGGAAUUCCACAUGUAGCGGUGAAAUGCGUAGAUAUGUGGAGGAACACCGGUGGUGAAGACGGUUUUCUGGGUUAUUGCUGACGCUGAGGCGCGAAAGCUAGGGGAGCAAACAGG
rnacentral:rRNA from 1 species